GUCUUUUUGAUUAUAAUUUAAAGUCUAAUCUGCCCAAUGAGUAUUUAAAUGGCUGCGGUAUUUUGACCGUACAAAGGUAGCAUAAUCAUUAGUUUUUUAAUUGAAAGCUAGAAUGAAUGAUUGAACGAGAAAAUUACUGUCUCAAUUUAAUUUUUUUAGAAUUUUAUUUUUAAGUCAAAAAGCUUAAAUAAUUUUUAAAGACGAGAAGACCCUAUAGAGUUUAAUAUUUUUAAAUAUAAUAAAUUUUAUGAAUAUUAUAAAUUUUUAAAAAUAUUUUGUUGGGGUGAUAAUUAAAUUUAAAAAACUUUAAUUUUUAAUUACAUAAAUUUAUGAAUAUAUGAUCCAUUUAUAAUGAUUAAAAGAUUAAAUUACCUUAGGGAUAACAGCGUAAUUUUUUUUGAGAGUUCUAAUCGAAAAAAAAGAUUGCGACCUCGAUGUUGGAUUAAAAUUAAAUUUUGGUGUAGAAGCUAAAACUUUAAGUCUGUUCGACUUUUAAAAUUUUACAUGAUCUGAGUUUAAACCGGUGUGAGCCAGGUUGGUUUCUAUCUUAAAAUAAUUUAAAUAUUUUAGUACGAAAGGACCAAAUAUUUAUAAUAAUUAUUAAUUUAUGAAUAU
rnacentral:rRNA from 1 species